rnacentral:rRNA from 1 species
AGAGUUUGAUCCUGGCUCAGAUCGAACGCUGGCGGCAUGCCUUACACAUGCAAGUCGAACGGCAGCAUAGGAGCUUGCUCCUGAUGGCGAGUGGCGAACGGGUGAGUAAUAUAUCGGAACGUGCCCUAGAGUGGGGGAUAACUAGUCGAAAGAUUAGCUAAUACCGCAUACGAUCUACGGAUGAAAGUGGGGGAUCGCAAGACCUCAUGCUCAUGGAGCGGCCGAUAUCUGAUUAGCUAGUUGGUGGGGUAAAAGCUCACCAAGGCGACGAUCAGUAGCUGGUCUGAGAGGACGACCAGCCACACUGGAACUGAGACACGGUCCAGACUCCUACGGGAGGCAGCAGUGGGGAAUUUUGGACAAUGGGGGCAACCCUGAUCCAGCAAUGCCGCGUGAGUGAAGAAGGCCUUCGGGUUGUAAAGCUCUUUUGUCAGGGAAGAAACGGUUGAGGCUAAUAUCCUCGGCUAAUGACGGUACCUGAAGAAUAAGCACCGGCUAACUACGUGCCAGCAGCCGCGGUAAUACGUAGGGUGCAAGCGUUAAUCGGAAUUACUGGGCGUAAAGCGUGCGCAGGCGGUUGUGUAAGACAGAUGUGAAAUCCCCGGGCUUAACCUGGGAACUGCAUUCGAAACUGGCAGGCUAGAGUCUUGUAGAGGGGGGUAGAAUUCCAGGUGUAGCGGUGAAAUGCGUAGAGAUCUGGAGGAAUACCGGUGGCGAAGGCGGCCCCCUGGACAAAGACUGACGCUCASGUGCGAAAGCGUGGGGGAGCAAACAGGAUUASAUACCCUGGUAGUCCACGCCCGUAAACGAUGUCUACUUGGAGGUUGUUCCCUUGAGGAGUGGCUUCCGGAGCUAACGCGUUAAGUCGACCGCCUGGGGAGUACGGCCGCAAGGUUAAAACUCAAAUGAAUUGACGGGGGCCCGCACAAGCGGUGGAGCAUGUGGUUUAAUUCGAUGCAACGCGAAGAACCUUACCUACUCUUGACAUCCAGAGAACUUAGCAGAGAUGCUUUGGUGCCUUCGGGAACUCUGAGGCAGGUGCUGCAUGGCUGUCGUCAGCUCGUGUUGUGAAAUGUUGGGUUAAGUCCCACAACGAGCGCAACCCUUAUCCUUUGUUGCCAGCGGUUCGGCCGGGAACUCAAAGGAGACUGCCAGUGAUAAACUGGAGGAAGGUGGGGAUGACGUCAAGUCAUCAUGGCCCUUACGAGUAGGGCUACACACGUGCUACAAUGGCGCAUACAAAGAGAAGCGACCUCGCGAGAGCAAGCGGACCUCAUAAAGUGCGUCGUAGUCCGGAUCGGAGUCUGCAACUCGACUCCGUGAAGUCGGAAUCGCUAGUAAUCGUAGAUCAGAAUGCUACGGUGAAUACGUUCCCGGGCCUUGUACACACCGCCCGUCACACCAUGGGAGUGGGUUGCAAAAGAAGUAGGUAGCUUAACCUUCGGGAGGGCGCUUACCACUUUGUGAUUCAUGACUGGGGUGAAGUCGUAACAAGGUAGCCGUA